rnacentral:lncRNA from 1 species
GAACAUGUCCAUUGUUUGGCCAUUUCACAAAUUUCUAUCCAAUUAUUUCACUAAGUAAAGGCCUUCUAAAAUGUGCCCAAGUACACAUCCAACAUCAGUUCACAUGCCCUGAAUAACAAUUACAUUAGAUUACAAAUAUGGAACGCUGUACAGACCCUCUUAAUCAUCAAGUUCACCUCCGUAGCUCAAACUUCCUAAGCGCCUCUCACCACCAAGGAAACCUGUAAAAAACAAUAUGCUUCUGUUACAAUAUGCUCUCGAAACCUGUAACAAACUUCCUAAUAGAUACACUAAAGUAUCAAGAACAGCAAGUGGACUCUAUAUUACAAAAAUAUAUUUUGUGACGAAUCUAAUGAAACUAAUUCUGUAGUGAAGAUGUUGAUAUAGCUUCCUUUAAAAUUUGUCAAAUUCAGUUAAUUCGGAAUGGUAGAGAAAACAAGAAUUAAAUGAAAUGUUCAAGGUGGAGAUACUUCCGAAGUUACAUUGCACUUAACGUAAUUUACUAAACUAUAACCACUACCACUGGAUUUUCAUAACAGAUCCUACAUGAAACAAAUGCAAAUUUUGAUUAUUAUAUUUAGAAUUGGAUAAGAGCAAAUCCAUCAAACAUAGAACUUAUAUGAUGGUCUAUGGCAAUCUGAUCUCUACCAGUAAUGCAAGAAAUAACAAACCAGGCUGUGAGUAAUUCUGAACAAAAGAGCUAUACAGCCAACGAUGGUCCGCAGAAUAUUUCAGGGAAGUAUAUCUAAACUAUUAUAAAAUAAUUAUGACUGAAUAUGUACUGUAGUGUGAGAAUGUAGUAGUGAUUGCCGUCGUUGAUGAAGGUCCUGAAAUAUGUCAACUAAGGAACACUAUUUCAACAAUACAGAAAGGUAAAAAUGCUAGAACUUAAAGCGACAUCCAGUAAUACAUAAAGUGGAUAACUCCCUUUUCCCGAUAUAUCAAGCAGCUACAUUCCCUUUUAUUAGGCAAUAAGAAGAGAUACAAUUCUACUUUUCUCUUUCGACUCUGGAAAGACACAAAAAUGCAUAGCACAUACGAUUUUUCCCUAAGUUCUGGAAUUUUACAAUGCCUACAAACGAGAAUAACAAAGUAUAUAUGCUAAAACCAAUGGCAUCACUAACAAACAUUAUACAUGAUGCAGAGAAGUACAAAUUUAAUUUAUUGCAUGGCUUAAGUAAUUACCCAAGUAAUUCUUGCUAGAUUUUUCAAUAUCUUUGCCUUUUCAAGUCCUUGUGGAGGAGUUAAGUACAUUGCAAUUAUAUCAUUGCACAUGAAUUAGAGCACUAUGAGUUUUGAUCCAUCGUACAAAAUACUAUCAGUUUAAUUGUCACAAAAAAUUAAGAUUAGACACACCACAUGGAACUUCAAGCGGCUUGUUUAUCAUUUUGCAUCUUCGUCAAGUAUUUUAGGUACCUAUAGAACAAGACAGAGAGAAAUAAAUAAUUGCAUGUAUGAUGUAUCUCAAGAUUAAACUGUACAGCUACAUGUGUGGGCAGUCGAUAGCUACAUGAAAGUUUAUUAUCCAUUAACCAAAAAACAUAUAGGUUGAAAACUGCACAGCUAAAACAAGCCCAUUAACUAUAAACAAUAAAAGUCAUAUUUAUAUGAAAAGAAAAUGGCGGAAAGAAAACAGAAAGUACUCUCCUUAUUCUUGAAUUUGAAAGCUUUGUGACUUUAAUAGUAAUCAUUUCAGUAAGUAUAGGACCAGAAUCAUGGACUGAAUUUUUAGUUAGAAGAACAAGCAUUGAAUUAUGUGUAUUUUCAGUCAAGCUUACUUCCAGAAAACAUUAUACUUCACAAAUACAAACUGAGCCCUAGCCGAACAUAAGGGCAAAUAGAUGUUUGAGUAAAGUGUAUGCAUAACAUAAAAGGCAUGUGCACGAAAGGGCAGUGCAGAUAACAUCACCAAGUAAAAAAUGUUUCUGGUCCAUGUGAGAUAUCCAAAAUUAUGCUGGCAAGGACAGUGGAGAUAUCAUCACCAAGUAAAAAAUGUUUUUAGCUGUACAAAUACCAUUAGAUGCACUGACCGAUGUGGGAUCCAUCACCAUUAUGUGCAUGCAGAAACAUUGGACACUGCAGUAAAAUGUACCUACAGAAUCUGUAGAUACGAGUUUUUCUUCAGUUAGAUAUAAAAUGGUAUGAGUUUCUUAAUUCUAAAAGCUGACAGGAUAAAUCUUGCAGGCAAUUACUCUGAAUUAGCAGUGUUCAACUACAAAGCUAUGCUUGAUAUGCAACAAGAAUAGAAAUUUGCCUAGUACUUUUUGUUUCCAGUACAAAUAAAGGAACAAAGCACAGACAAUCUGUAACAAGCGAGUAACCCUCAAUGGUGCUCGUGCCCUUGCUGUUCGUGUUAAUGUCAAACAAGGCAGACACCUAGAUGUUUUCCCUGUACCGGUUCAACAUGGCCAACGAGGCCUGCAGCCAUCCUCUAACAGGAACGACUAGAUCCAUCCAUGGCCGGUGUUUUGCCCAAGUGUUUUGCUCGUCCCAGUGGUACUUUGUACUCCUCGGCAGAGCUCCAAAAAACCCUAUAUUACCAGAGAUGAACAGAGGGGGGCUGUAGGGUACGGGACCGGUGCAGAGGUACGUACUGACUCUUUCCGGCCGGAGAAGGUGAACAGCGGGGCGUAGAGGAGGCUGCGCACCACGGAUGGAGAAGACGACCGCGACAACGAGGGGACCGACGGUGGCGCAGCUGACGGACAAUUGGACCGAGCCACAAGGGUCGCCGAUGUACUCUGGAUCUGUGGCGGUGUUGCCACCUCCUGUACCUCACCUCAGCUCGCCGCCAGAUGGAGCUGGAUCAAUGCACGCCGCCAGCGACGACAGGGACGUACAAAUCUGGCAGUUGGUCCCACGGCCACCGCUGCCGCCUCAAAUCGACGGGUAUGACUGGAUUGCAAUAGCUCGAGGG